rnacentral:rRNA from 1 species
GAUGAACGCUGGCGGCGUGCCUAAUACAUGCAAGUCGAGCGAACGGACGAGAAGCUUGCUUCUCUAAUGUUAGCGGCGGACGGGUGAGUAACACGUGGAUAACCUACCUAUAAGACUGGGAUAACUUCGGGAAACCGUAGCUAAUACCGGAUAAUAUUUUGAACCGCAUGGUUCAAAAGUGAAAGACGGUCUUGCCGUCACUUAUAGAUGGAUCCGCGCUGCAUUAGCUAGUUGGUAAGGUAACGGCUUACCAAGGCAACGAUGCAUAGCCGACCUGAGAGGGUGAUCGGCCACACUGGAACUGAGACACGGUCCAGACUCCUACGGGAGGCAGCAGUAGGGAAUCUUCCGCAAUGGGCGAAAGCCUGACGGAGCAACGCCGCGUGAGUGAUGAAGGUCUUCGGAUCGUAAAACUCUGUUAUUAGGGAAGAACAUAUGUGUAAGUAACUGUGCACAUCUUGACGGUACCUAAUCAGAAAGCCACGGCUAACUACGUG